AGCGAACGCUGGCGGCAGGCUUAACACAUGCAAGUCGAACGGGCGUAGCAAUACGUCAGUGGCAGACGGGUGAGUAACGCGUGGGAACAUACCUCUUGGUUCGGAACAACACAGGGAAACUUGUGCUAAUACCGGAUAAGCCCUUACGGGAAGAUUUAUCGCCGAGAGAUUGGCCCGCGUCUGAUUAGCUAGUUGGUGAGGUAACGGCCCACCAAGGCGACGAUCAGUAGCNGGUCUGAGAGGAUGAUCAGCCACAUUGGGACUGAGACACGGCCCAAACUCCUACGGGAGGCAGCAGUGGGAAUAUUGGACAAUGGGCGCAAGCCUGAUCCAGCCAUGCCGCGUGAGUGAUGAAGG
rnacentral:rRNA from 1 species